GCUCCAAACUCUGUCUGCUGCUCAUCCAAUGUGUGUAAUGAGCUCCUGUGUGGGGGUCACUUACUCAGGGGCUGAAGUUAUAAAGGAAAAAAUGGAACAUUUGUCUUCAUACAUCUCACAUUAAUGAGUGGACAGAAAGUCCACACACAUUAAGCAAGAAGCCAUGUUAGUUGUGGGUGGUGACCAGUCCUGCUGUGGAAACACAAGAAAGUAUGUGGAAAGUUAGAGGGUAAUCCUACUGAACAGUAGCUCCCCUGGAUAGUUGGUCACAUGUGCAGGAGAGAAGAGGAGGGCAUCCUCACCUCAGAGUGGGAGGACUCCCAGGCUGGAGUGUGUGUGCACGACCCUGAGCUGCCACAGUGCACCUGGAUGAACCCCACGCAGAUGGAAUUGGAGUACAACAUGGGGCUGUUCUCUUCCCUCUUGUCUACUGACCAGUAUUCACAAUGGCACUCAGCUUUCUAUUUUGAAGAUGCCCAUAUUCUAGUCACUGCCUUAUUAUUUACCAUUCUUUUUAAAGACUUGUUCUCAUCACUUUGCAUCCCACGGAGACUUAAUGGUGUAAUAAACAGCCAUUGCUGAAACUUUUAUGUGAAUGUAUUUGACAGUUUCUUGAAGAGUACCCUUAUAAAACUUCUGAAAGAAAUACCACAAGAACCAAAGUCAUCUAAAAUCUAUAGACAGCAUUGGAAUUACAAGGAUACCACCCUUUCCUAGUAUGAAAGCUCUGCCCAGCUGCUUUACAGGUGUAAUUAUCUAAGGUAGAAAUAAAUCCAAUCUUAUAUAACUUCCUUAUGGAAAU
rnacentral:lncRNA from 1 species